GCUUCACUCCACGGGCGGUGCCGGGUUGUGAAAGGGGCUGACAGUGCUGCUCUCCGGCAGAGGGGUGGAGGCAGGUGCGUGCACAGGUGUGCAGAUGAAAAGGACAACCAAGACACAUGGGACCUCUCAUGAUCCCUUCCUGUGGUUUCCUAUGGAGCAAACCACCCUGACACUUCGUGUUUCAUUAUAACAGCAAUUUAAAAAAUCAUCAACUCCUGGAAGGGCUUGUGGGUAGGUAUGGAGGAAGAUGAGCAAUGGUCUGCACAGAUGACAGAACGUAUCUGCAUCCCUAAGUCACCCCAGCAAGGUGAUCCAUGGUUGCAACUAGGACAAAACAAGCAUGCAGGAGGCACCCGGUUCCCAACAGCAUUUCCUGUAUUUCAGCAAGACCGCGUCAGGUUUUCCGCUGAACCAAAGGGGCCUCUUUCCCCAGAACCAGGCCUGGCCAUCUCUGAACAAGGGAUCUUGGAGAACAGUGCCUGCUGCUCAGUCAAUGCCUGAUGAUGGAGUGAACAGAUUUCUGCUUUCUGUGGCCACCUCUGGGUCACAGAAGGCCCAGAGGUUACAAGCAACCUCUAGUAUUUGAAGAAUGGAGAAAAAGGACAGAGAAGUAUGAAAAGGAGCCUCGCUUGGAUGCAUCCACUGAGCACUGAAGGGGAGGACCCUUAGGUGGCCCCGUCCUUUGCAAACAGGCUCAGUGCUUCUCCCACACUCACCCAGGGCCCAGAAUCCAUGCAUACAUGCAGGGUGGGGCAGGCCGACUCAGACCGACAUGUCCAGCCUCUGCCCAACUCCUCUGUUGGAGGCUUUGUGGGGAAUUUGGCAGAGCCUGGCCGUUCCUUCACUAAUUCGGCCGUUCUGGAAAAACCACCCAGUUAACAGGUCUGAGCCGCUUCCUCUAAUCCUGGGGACUAGAGGUGACUGCCACUUUGAGGCCAGUUAAAGUUCUUGCCCCCUCCUGGAAGCCCUGCACUGCUGGGAAGCAG
rnacentral:lncRNA from 1 species